GCCCGGUGGGAAGAGGCGGGGGAAGCGCAGCGAGCCGGCAGCGGCCGCCCGGGAAUCGCUUCACUCAGCGCUGGCUGCCUGUAGGAAAACGCUGCUCCGUCCUCUGGCAGAGAUAGGCAGGCACUGCCCCCUCUCUCUCUCUCCGUCUCCUUCUCCCUCUUCCUCUUUUCCGCUGCUCCUUCCCGGGGGCACUGAAGCAUUUUCUCACAGGCCCUCCCCAGCCCAGCCCAGCCCAGCCCAGCCCUCCUUUCUGCAUGGCAGCUUUCAUGUGUCCGCCUGUAAAGGUUUGCCGAUUCUCCUAGCACUGGCCAAAGGAAACAUUACUUUGUAAUCUAAAAAUGAGCAGGUAUGAAAGAGCAGCCAUUCUAGAGGGACCUUACUUGGCUUGACGUGUGAACCUCAUGACGUUCAACAAGGCCCUGCUUGUGGCUCAGGGCAGUCCUAAGCACAAGUACAGGCUGGGUGAAAAAUGGGUUGAGGGCAGCCCUGAGGAGGACUUGGGGGUGUUGGUGAAUGAAAAGCUUCACAUGACCUGGCAAUGUGCACUUGCAGCCCAGAAAGCCAAACAUGUCCUGGACUGUGUCAAAAGCAGCAAGGCCAGGGAGAGGAUUCUUCCCCUCUACUCCACCCCCCACCUGGAGUACUGCAUCCAGCUCUGGAGCCCCCCACAUAAGGCAGCCAUGGACCUGUUGGAGUGAGUUCAGAGAAGGGCCACAAAGAAGAUCAGAGAAAUGGAGCCUCUCUUCUGUGAAGACACGGGGCGAGGCACCAUGCUGUGAAUAUGGCUCCAACAAAGGGAGGCAGAAACUACUCUCAAAUCACGGAGCCGCUUUAUCUUUUCUCCAACCUGUGAACCUGCCGAACCAAUUUCAGGAGACAUCAGCUUCCGCCAAGGAUAUAAUCAUGGGUAACUGCCUCAGUGCAGAGUAGCUUAGGAGUUGGAGAGCUGUACAUGUUUUCUGCUUUCUGUGCAUGCAGCAAGGCAGGACGGGCAGAUUGACAGGUGCUUUCUGUCUGAAACCACCCCAGUUUGGGUGGAGCAGGCUUCAAUGGUUUCAGCUGGGGGAUUCACUCUGUCACAAAGCCAGUGGAAGCAAAUUAAGCUGCCUGGAGUUGCUACAAAUAGAUAUUAAUCUCUGCCUCGAUUAUGAUUAACUCCUUAAUGCCAUGCUGCCUUACCAAACAUUUUGUUAAUCAGCCAUAAACAUGGGUCUCUAACAGCUCACUGCCCCUCCUGCAAGCACUCAAGCAGUGACUCUUCUUCCCAAGUCAAUGGCUUUUGUUGCCAUAGGGACUUGACAGAAGUAGUACCAUCUCCUUGCCUCAGGACUAGCAGAGAGCUCCAGUCAGAAGCAGUAGCUAAAGAAGACACCUGCUUCAGGAGAAAGGAUGUAUCCAAUAGAGAUGGAGAUCUCCAUCACAGUUCUUAAAGUGCUUUUAGAAUAAAGGCAGUGCCUGACA